rnacentral:rRNA from 1 species
CCUACGGGAGGCAGCAGUGAGGAAUAUUGGUCAAUGGUCGCGAGCCUGAACCAGCCAAGUAGCGUGAAGGAGGAAUGCCCUACGGGUUGUAAACUUCUUUUAUAAAGGAAUAAAGUGAGGCACGUGUGCCUUUUUGUAUGUACUUUAUGAAUAAGGAUCGGCUAACUCCGUGCCAGCAGCCGCGGUAAUACGGAGGAUCCGAGCGUUAUCCGGAUUUAUUGGGUUUAAAGGGAGCGUAGUUGGGUUGUUAAGUCAGUGUGGAAAGUUUGGGGCUCAACCGUAAAAUUGCAAUUGAUACUGGCAGCCUUGAGUACAGUUGAGGUAGGCGGAAUUCGUGGUGUAGCGGUGAAAUGCUUAGAUAUCACGAAGAACUCCGAUUGCGAAGGCAGCUUACUAAACUGCCACUGACAUUGAUGCUCGAAAGUGUGGGUAUCAAACAGGAUUAGAUACCCCAGUAGUC